rnacentral:miRNA from 1 species
GCCUCAUUCUAUGGGUUGUUAU